CUGGUGUCAGCUGCCGCGGUAAUACCAGCACCUCGAGUGGUCAGGACGUUUAUUGGGCCUAAAGCAUCCGUAGCCGGCUCUGCAAGUCUUCGGUUAAAUCCACCUGCUCAACAGAUGGGCUGCUGGAGAUACUACAGAGCUAGGGAGUGGGAGAGGCAGACGGUAUUCAGUGGGUAGGGGUAAAAUCCUCUGAUCCAUUGAGGACCACCAGUGGCGAAGGCGGUCUGCCAGAACACGUUCGACGGUGAGGGAUGAAAGCUGGGGGAGCAAACCGGAUUAGAUACCCGGGUAGUCCCAGCUGUAAACGAUGCAAACUCGGUGAUGCAUUGGCUUAUGGCCAAUGCAGUGCCGCAGGGAAGCCGUUAAGUUUGCCGCCUGGGAAGUACGGACGCAAGUCUGAAACUUAAAGGAAUUGGCGGGGGAGCACCACAAGGGGUGAAGCCUGCGGUUCAAUUGGAGUCAACGCCAGGAAUCUUACCCGGGGAGACAGCAGAAUGAAGGUCAAGCUGAAGACUUUACCAGACAAGCU
rnacentral:rRNA from 2 species